rnacentral:lncRNA from 1 species
UUUCGCCCUUGUUGCCCAGGCUGGAGUGCAAUGGCGCCAUCUCAGCUCACUGCAACCUCCACCUCCCGGGUUCAACCAAUUCUGCCUCAGUCUCCCAAGUAGCUGGAAUUAGAGGUGCCCGCCACCAUGCCUGGCUAAUUUUUAUAUUUUUAGUAGAGACGGGGUUUCACCAUGUUGGCCAGGCUGGUCUUGAACUGCUGACCUCAAGUGGUCCACCCGCCUCGGCCUCCCAAAGUGCUGGGAUUACAGGCAUGAGCCACUGCUCCCGACCUGCAAUUCUUGCUAUGAGUUAAUAAAGGGAUCCAGUAACUGCUCCCAGGGAAAGGAUAUCAGCACCUGAACCUAGUCCCAACUGGAGAAUCCUGCCUAAAUUGACAUAGGAUUUAUAAAGUUUAAAUGGGAAUUAGAAGACAAGAAAGGAAAAUAUGAUGUAAUGUUCUGUCCUCUCAAGGGCUUCAGUUGCCCUUUGUGAAAAUAAGACUGUGGGGGAUCAUGCAGAAGAGGGAGCAAAGGACAAUCCCCUAGAUGGACAAGAGAGUGCAUGACUGUGAGGAAGAGGUUCACCGAGGCUCAGCUGCGAUUGAUUCCCCCACGCUCAUCUCAAACUCUCUUAAGCAAACUUUCAGCCCCAGAUGCUUACACAGAGAUAUUUUUCAGCCUCGAUUCACU